AUGGACAGCAGCCAGGCCCCUGACCCCGACUCCCGGGGCGCUCCGAAGCUGGGUGGCUGGACUACUGGGAGCAAGCAAUUGACAGCAGCCUGCAGGAGGCAACUCGAAAGAUCUGGGCUGCUGAAUAAUAAGGGAUCGCUGCUGGCCUACUCAGGUUAUGGGGACACUGACGCACAGGUCACCGCAGCCAUCGCCAGUAACAUCUAUGCUGCCUACGACAGGAAUGGGAACCAAGCGUUUAAUGAAGACAAUCUCAAAUUCAUCCUCAUGGACUGCAUGGAGGGCCGUGUAGCCAUCACUGGAGUGGCCAACCUUCUGCUGUGUAUGUAUGCCAAGGAGACCGUGGGCUUCGGAAUGCUCAAGGCCAAGGCCCAGGCCUUGGUGCAGUACCUGGAGGAGCCCCUCACCCAAGUAGCAGCAUCUUGAUGGGCAUUAGUGAAAGCUGGGGUCAGAAGAGAGAGAACCAUUUGGAGGGGCAGAGCCCCCUGGGAAAAUCUUCUUGGACUAUGAAGGGAGGGUAGGACUUUAUUUUUUCCAAGAAUAAACUUCAACUCCU